UAUUGCACAAUGGGCGCAAGCCUGAUGCAGCGACGCCGCGUGAGGGAUGACGGCCUUCGGGUUGUAAACCUCUUUCAGUAGGGAAGAAGCGAAAGUGACGGUACCUGCAGAAGAAGCGCCGGCUAACUACGUGCCAGCAGCCGCGGUAAUACGUAGGGCGCAAGCGUUAUCCGGAUUUAUUGGGCGUAAAGAGCUCGUAGGCGGUUUGUCGCGUCUGCCGUGAAAGUCCGAGGCUCAACCUCGGAUCUGCGGUGGGUACGGGCAGACUAGAGUGAUGUAGGGGAGACUGGAAUUCCUGGUGUAGCGGUGAAAUGCGCAGAUAUCAGGAGGAACACCGAUGGCGAAGGCGGGUCUCUGGGCAUUUACUGACGCUGAGGAGCGAAAGCAUGGGGAGCGAACAGGAUUAGAUACCCUGGUAGUCCAUGCCGUAA
rnacentral:rRNA from 1 species